AAGGAAGCCGUCAUCACUUAUAGCUAUCAACUGAAGGUCUUCCCUUUUAACAUUGGGAACGUCCAUGUUAUGAGUAGAUGGGCAAAUAUCUUCAUAUCUGUAAAGAUGAUAAACAAAUCAAGGUUUUAGUUAUGAGAACAAUGCAUUGAUAAUUUAUUGGAAGAAGAUAAGAUUAGCGGCGAAAACUUUUCGAUGAUAAUGUUCAAGAGCACCCAAGACGAGGCUACCUCUUUGUGUUGCUGCUGCGACAGAUGUUCGUAUACUCACUUCUUGUUGGAGAAAAUAUCAAUGCCAACCAUGUGAACCUUGGCGUGUCCGUGCUUUCCAGUCUUUGAAGUAGACAUCUCGACAAUCUUGCAUGGCCGGGA